rnacentral:rRNA from 1 species
UGAAUACGAGACGCUAAGGCGUCGAAGUAGUGUAUGUCAUACUUCCAAGAAAAGCUUGCACUGUCAUAGAUAAAAAACGCCUGUACCAUAACCGACACAGGUGGGUAGGUAGAGUAUACUAAGGGGCGCGAGAUAACUCUCUCUAAGGAACUCGGCAAAAUAACUCCGUAACUUCGGGAGAAGGAGUGCCUUAUUCGUAAGGUUGCAAUAACAAGAUCCAAGCAACUGUUUAUCAAAAACACAGGUCUCCGCUAAGUCGUAAGACGAUGUAUGGGGGCUGACGCCUGCCCAGUGCCAGAAGGUUAAAGAAGUUGGUUAGCAAUUGCGAAGCUGAUAACUGAAGCCCUGGUGAACGGCGGCCGUAACGAUAACGGUCCUAAGGUAGCGAAAUUCCUUGUCGGGUAAGUUCCGACCCGCACGAAAGGCGUAAUGAUUUGGAUACUGUCUCGGAGAGGGGCUCGGUGAAAUAGACUUGUCUGUGAAGAUGCGGACUACCUGCACCAGGACAGAAAGACCCUAUGAAGCUUUACUGUAACUUGAAAUUGAAAUUGGACUUUAUUCGCGCAGUAUAGGUGGGAGGCGUUGAUUAUAAUCUUGUGGGAUUAUUGGAGCCAUCAGUGAGAUACCACUCUUGUAAUGUUAGAUUUCUAACUUUGAAUCAUUAUCUGGUCAAAGAACAGUUUCAGGCGGGCAGUUUGACUGGGGCGGUCGCCUCCUAAACGGUAACGGAGGCGUACAAAGGUUUCCUCUGAACGGUUAGAAAUCGUAUCUAGAGUGUAAAGGCAUAAGGAAGCUUGACUGUGAGACCUACAAGUCGAGCAGGGACGAAAGUCGGUCUUAGUGAUCUGACGGUACUGAGUGGAAAGGCCGUCACUCAACGGAUAAAAGUUACUCUAAGGAUAACAGGCUGAUCCCCCCCAAGAGUUCACAUCGACGGGGAGGUUUGGCACCUCGAUGUCGGCUCAUCGCAUCCUGGGGCGGUAGUACGUCCCAAGGGUUGGGCUGUUCGCCCAUGAAAGCGGUACGCGAGCUGGGUUCAGAACGUCGUGAGACAGUUCGGUCCAUAUCCGGUGUAGGCGUUAGAAUAUUGAGAGGAGCCUUCUUUAGUACGAGAGGACCGAGAAGGACAUACCUCUGGUGUACCAGUUAUCGUGCCAACGGUAAACGCUGGGUAGCUAUGUAUGGAGUGGAUAACCGCUGAAAGCAUCUAAGUGGGAAGCCCACCUCAAGAUAAGUA